GCAGCCGUGCGAACUAUUCAGCUCUUGCAGUGAUGUCAUUGGUUCUGUACUCAACGUCUUUUCUACAAGUAUAGCAAAUCGCUAUACGCUAUUCGCUGGCACAAUGGGCACAUUGUACAAAUUGCUAGUCUGGCGAAUGCUCUACGUGAGUCAAGUACUAAAUGCGUAUUGGUAUUCCCCGCUAUCCUUCUCGGUUCUCGGUACGCAUUUAUUGGGGUUGUGCAUACGAAACACCGCACAGUUAGGAUUUCAUCAAGUUUUCGACACAGGGAUGGAAGCCUAUCGCUCGCAUGUACUCAUGGCAAGCGAGUAGAAUAUACAAGUGAGUGAACCACGAUCACAUCUAUCCCGAGAGCAUGCUAAUUCAGUGUCCUCGACGUCCAGUUGUGCGGAAUCACAAUUCAUAAGACUAUUUAUUUAUUUCACUGAUGUUAUAAUCAAUAUAAAUGAGCUUUAGGGUUAGAGAAACGAGAUAGAAAAAGAAAAAUAUGAUGCUGUACGUACAAAAGUUGCCUUCGAGUGCACUACUAAUUGAGCGAAGAAAAUGAUCACAUUUUUAGCGGUUCUCGUGCAAGCUGCUUCUCCUCAGCUAGUUAACGACGAGCUACUACAAGGCUCAAUUUAAAUUACCGUGGAACGGAAUGGCUCGUAUC